rnacentral:rRNA from 1 species
AUUGAACGCUGGCGGCAGGCUUAACACAUGCAAGUCGAGCGGAGAUGAGGUGCUUGCACCUUAUCUUAGCGGCGGACGGGUGAGUAAUGCUUAGGAAUCUGCCUAUUAGUGGGGGACAACAUUCCGAAAGGAAUGCUAAUACCGCAUACGUCCUACGGGAGAAAGCAGGGGAUCUUCGGACCUUGCGCUAAUAGAUGAGCCUAAGUCGGAUUAGCUAGUCGGAGGGGUAAAGGCCUACCAAGGCGACGAUCUGUAGCGGGUCUGAGAGGAUGAUCCGCCGCACUGGGACUGAGACACGGCCCAGACUCCUACGGGAGGCAGCAGUGGGGAAUAUUGGACAAUGGGGGGAACCCUGAUCCAGCCAUGCCGCGUGUGUGAAGAAGGCCUUAUGGUUGUAAAGCACUUUAAGCGAGGAGGAGGCUACUGAGACUAAUACUCUUGGAUAGUGGACGUUACUCGCAGAAUAAGCACCGGCUAACUCUGUGCCAGCCGCCGCCGUAAAAC